UGAGUGCCCUCAUCUCCCCCCAACUUACAAGUUUACUGUCUCUUGAUUAGUUUUUUGUUCCUCUUUUCUAUUUAUCAAUUAUCAUUUGGUAGAGUUACCAACAUUAGUCAUUAAGAAUGAUUUUUUGGAUCUUUGGUUAAUGUUCUUGUACAAAUCAUGGAGAAAAACUGUUAUUUUCCAGUUCACAUUAAAACAGGUCCUUAUGUGUAAUUAUGUGAAUCAGGAACUAACAGAACAUGGAUUUCUUUAUGGCGGGGAAUACCAAAGCAACCUUCCUGCUGAAUCAGACCAUGCCAUCAUAAAUUGCUUGGAUGGGACUACUCAUUUGGAUUACCAACAGUUCAGUUUGCAUCCAGAGCUGCACCAUAAUCUGUAUCUUAACGUGAAAGUACUUAAUUUACUUUUUUCUUUCAGGUUUAUCUAUUCGUUUUUUUGUUAUUUUUCAUUGUAGAUUUUUUUUUUCAUUUUUUCAAUAUAAUGUGUGUUGGUUCCCACCUUCUGCUGAAGCACUACGUCAUCCCUGGUUGGCUGUCAAUUGCAACUGCCUUUUAAGACACUAACAAACUCUAUUUCAAGGCUGUGUAAAGAAAGAGUUGUUGGAGUCCAUGUUCUAAGCUAUUACUAAUUCUCAGAUAAUAUGCAUUACAAAUAAGUUAGCUGGAAAAAGAUUUAUCACUAUUAUAUAAUCCUAAAAGAGUACAAUAACCAUGUCAUCCUGUCAAAUCCCCUUGAAAUUGUCUUAAAUUAAGGAAAGCCAUUGUCACUAAAAUUCUCAACUAGCAGCUCUUGAAACAUAAAAAUAAUUAUAUUAAUGGAUAAGAGGCAAAGGAUUAAAAUACAAGAAAAUUGUAUUCUAAGUUAAAGAUAGACAAAGGAUGUGAAAUUUUAUCACUUGUGAUCUGGUCAAAGCCCUGGAAAGAGGAGAAUUUUUGUGUUUCAUGUUAUUGGAUCUUCUGCAUCAGAGGUUCUUUUGGCUUUCUACAUUCUGGUUAUGUUCUUUUCUUCUGUUGAUGUUUUUCUUAGUGCAAUGCUCUCUCACAAUAUAUGACAAACUUCGCCCUCUUUCAUUUUGGGAACUUUGCUCUUUUAUAUACAACUCCCAUAACCUGUGCAAGUCAUUUCUUAGAAAAAAGGGAGAAACUUUUCAGGUUGUACUAUGCAAUUUCUGCAUCUUGUGUACCUAUAUGAAGGAAAAGUAACAUGUUAGUGUUGCUAGCUAUAGGUUUGCAGAGAUAUUAUUUAGCGUGGAGUUUGCUGAUAUUUUUAAGAUGCUCCGUUUUGCUUUACUUGUAUGUGUUUAUCAUGUUAAGUCCUACAAGAGAUAUUCAUGCUAUGUCCACCUGCUAAUCUUUUGCUUUAUAAGUCUGUGGCACAUAUUGGCAGGCAAUUUGUGACAUUCUCAUUUUCCAGCACUGUUCUGAUUAUCUAAUGUGGAACCUGCGAAAAUUUUCAGUCCUUUUUUUAAUCCUUCACUAUUAUGUGGCGGUUCAAGUUUCAACCUUCUAGUAGUUUGCUUUUUGGUUCACUCACAAAUUUUUAUCGUAAUUACAAGAGUAAGUUCUCAAAUUAGUUUUACUUGCAGGUUAAUUAUGUGAAUCAGGAACUAACAGAACAUGGAUUUCUUUAUGGCGGCGAAUACCAAAGCAACCUUCCUGCUGAAUCAGACCAUGCCAUCAUAAAUUGCUUGGAUGGGACUACUCAUUUGGAUUACCAACAGUUCAGUUUGCAUCCAGAGCUGCACCAUAA
rnacentral:lncRNA from 1 species